UACAGAGGGGGCAAGCGUUGUUCGGAAUUACUGGGCGUAAAGGGCGCGUAGGCGGCCUUCUAAGUCGAACGUGAAAUCCCCGGGCUCAACCCGGGAACUGCGUCCGAUACUGGAAGGCUUGAAUCCGGGAGAGGGAUGCGGAAUUCCAGGUGUAGCGGUGAAAUGCGCAGAGUAUCAGGAGGAACACCGGUGGCGAAGGCGGGUCUCUGGGCCGAUACUGACGCUGAGGAGCGAAAGCGUGGGGAGCAAACAGG
rnacentral:rRNA from 1 species